rnacentral:rRNA from 1 species
AGGAUGAACGCUGGCGGCGUGCUUAACACAUGCAAGUCGAACGGUGAAAGAGGAGCUUGCUCCUCUGGAUCAGUGGCGAACGGGUGAGUAACACGUGAGUAACCUGCCCCAGACUCUGGGAUAAGCACUGGAAACGGUGUCUAAUACCGGAUACGAGCUUCAGCCGCAUGGCUAGGAGCUGGAAAGAAUUUCGGUCUGGGAUGGACUCGCGGCCUAUCAGCUAGUUGGUGAGGUAAUGGCUCACCAAGGCGACGACGGGUAGCC